GACGAACGCUGGCGGCGUGCUUAACACAUGCAAGUCGAACGGAGUGGCGAACGGGUGAGUAACGCGUAAUCAACCUGCCCUUCAGAGGGGGACAACAGUGGGAAACGACUGCUAAUCCCGCAUACUGAAGAAGGGGUAUGCGGCGGAUAGGCUAGUUGGGGGGGUAACGGCCCACCAAGGCGAUGAUCAGUAGCCGGUCUGAGAGGAUGAACGGCCACAUUGGGACUGAGACACGGCCCAGACUCCUACGGUAGGCAGCAGUGGGGAAUCUUCCGCAAUGGACGAAAGUCUGACGAAGCAACGCCGCGUGAGUGAUGACGGCCUUCGGGUUGUAAAGCUCUGUUAAUCGGGACGCGGUACCGGAAUAGAAAGCCACGGCUAACUACGUGCCAGCAGCCGCGGUAAUUC
rnacentral:rRNA from 1 species